AUUGAACGCUGGCGGCACGCCUAACACAUGCAAGUCGAGCGGCAGCGAGACUAGUAGCAAUACUAGUUGUCGGCGAGCGGCGGACGGGUGAGUAACACGUAGGAAUCUGCCCUUAAGCGGGGGAUAACCAAGGGAAACUUUGGCUAAUACCGCAUAAUCUCGAGAGAGCAAAGCUGCCCGCAAGGGUGGCACUUGAGGAGGAGCCUGCGUCCGAUUAGCUAGUUGGUGGGGUAAUGGCCUACCAAGGCGAUGAUCGGUAACUGGUCUGAGAGGACGACCAGUCACACUGGGACUGAGACACGGCCCAGACUCCUACGGGAGGCAGCAGUGGGGAAUAUUGGACAAUGGGGGCAACCCUGAUCCAGCGAUGCCGCGUGAGUGAAGAAGGCCUUCGGGUCGUAAAGCUCUUUAGGUUGGGAAGAAGGGUAUUGGCUGAAUAAUCCAGUACUUUGACGGUACCGACAGAAUAAGCACCGGCAAACUCUGUGCCAGCCGCCGCAGUAAUAC
rnacentral:rRNA from 1 species